CCGAGUUAUCCAACUCCCAACCUCUGUGAAUUAUACCUUUAAUUGUUGCUUCGGCGGGACUUCGCGCCCGCCGGGGAUCCAAACCUUCUGAAUUUUUAAUAAGUAUCUUCUGAGUGGUUAAAAAAAUGAAUCA
rnacentral:misc_RNA from 1 species